GACACGACUCUCGGCAAUGGAUAUCUCGGCUCUCGCAUCGAUGAAGAGCGCAGCGAAAUGCGAU
rnacentral:rRNA from 30 species